rnacentral:lncRNA from 1 species
UCCCAAAAGUACUGGGAUUACAGGCGUAAGCCACCGCACCCGGCCAAUUAUUGCUCUUAUUACCCUCCUCUCACUACUGACAGGGUAGGAAGGGGCCUGUCAGUCCCAGUCACUGACUCUGGGCCUCAGCUCAGGCCAGAGUUCCAAGGGCCCUUAAAAGGGCGGGAAACAUUAUUUCCGGGUUGCUCGGAGAGUAGACCUGUCCUAAUGCCGCUGUAAUCAUUAAAAGGGCAACACAGAUGGGCUGCCCAUCGGCGGCUUGAAAACCCAUUUCUUUUAAGGGGAGUGGCUUCUGGGAAGUGCGUAAAGAACCUCCAGGCAGGGGCGGGACCAGAGGGCCACGUGCGCCAAUGAAAAGUGGAUAUGCAAAUAUAUAUAUGAAUAUGCUAACGAGCUCUCGGUUUCCCAGUGAAUGGUAGGGCACAAGCCUGGACUGGCAGAGCGGGCUAGGGAAGAAGAGGAAAUGAGAGGACCUCGAGGUUCAACCGAGUGUCUGAAUGGAAACUAACUCCCGACAGACCAUGCACAACGUUUCUUCCACAGCACCCGGAUCUCGAAGCCCCACUGGGCAUCAACUGUCAGUCCCUCACUAGGGGGGAUGAAGGGGGAGGGCGUGGGAGAUUCUUUUGGCUGUGGUAAGGAGCUCUGAAUUUAGAAGCCAGAAGGUUCUUGCCAGCAAUACUACCUUGUUUCACAGAUGGGGAAACUGAGGCCUGACAGGUUAAGCCCCUUCUCCAAGGUCGCAGUGCUAGACGCAGAAGAACUCAGUUUGGCAGGUUUUGUCUAUUUUUGCUUUGUUUUCAUUACUGCACGGGGGCACCACUCUGGAGGUGAAAAGGCAGCAGCCUGAAAGGCGGCAGAGCUUGGUACAUUACCGAACGUGUCGGACUGCCCACCAGGCUGGAGGUUUUAGAAAAUAUGUCCUAGGAGAAGAUGGAAGGAGUCAGGGUGGCCGCCAGUAGAAGCAGGCAAGGACAAAUUAUCAUAGACUUGUCUGGAAUGUGUUGCUAUAUAAAAGGUGACGAAGUGUUCCAGCUUCCCAGAGAACCGGUGCAGUGGAAAUGAACGGGGAACAGAAGGGAUUAGGGUUAGAUUUAAGGCAGUACUUUCUCCCAGGGAUGAUAAUGGGGCCCUUCAUUCAGUGACCAAGGCAGGCUAGGGACUCAUCCCCCUCCCACUUCCGAGGCCUUUGGGAAUCCAUUUCCCUCCAGUCCCACACGGCCAGCUUGGAGGUCAGGAAUGAAUUAGAAGACUUUGAAAAGUCCCCACUAUUCAGGUAGGCGAUCCUUUCCCUGGAUGGGCCUCCUGGGCUCUUUGCUGAGGGUAAGGACAGCAGCCGCUCUGGCUCCAGGGCCCUGGGGAAGAAACAGCAGUCAUGGCAUCUCUUGCAACACGCUCCCUGCCAAAUUGAUUCAAAUUGGCUUGGAUAUGAACAUAUGAUUAAAGGAGCGGCGCGAUUCAUUUAUCAGGAGAGAUUAAAGAGCGGCAUCUGCGCAGCCUAGCUGGGGGACAAUUAAGGAGCAAAUCGCUAAGUGUCUUUGCCACCAGGCAAGUGGGUGGAGGAUGGGGCAAGGACAACUGGGAUAAUCUGCCAAGGAGACACAAAGACAAAAGAAGACCAUUUAGGGGUCACUGCCUGCCACUUUAUUUUCUGGGCACAGACUGGGCACCAUGGGGAGUCCCACAGGGGCACUGGUUCCCGCCCAUGCUUAUUCAGGAGUCAGAGCAAUCCCGGGGAUCUGCAGUUAUAGAGGAGGAUCUAGCAGGCUGGCUUUGAGCCUGGCAAAGGGCCAGAUUUGCCUUCUGCAACAUCUUAGGGACCAGAGGUACCAUGAGUGUACAGGUAAGGUCAACAGCAGAGCCUUCAAGGUACACCCAAAAUAAAGAUGGGCUUUGGUGGCCCUAAAGGCUCCUGGACUCCUCUGGGGCCAAGGGAAUUGUCUCCUUCUCAACUGAAACUUGGAGAAGCACUGGUCAUGUGACAAUGCACAGCCAGCCUGUGGCAUGUUCUACCAGCACCUCUCUUUCCCUGCCCCAGGACCUUUACUUAAACUCUUCUUCUUCUCAAUAUGCCUUUCCCAGCAACUGUACCUGUGGAAGUGCUAUUUUCAAGCCCUGGUCAAAAUAGCAGCUCCUUUUAGAGGCUUUCCCAAUCCUCCCCGCCAAAGAGAGCAUCUCCCUCCAUAGUAUGUCCAAAGCAACCUCUUCAUCCUUGUUAGGUCUUAUGUAAUUAUUUCCACAUGGGUCUGCUCCAGCCCUCGUCCGCAAAACCCUGGAGGAUGGAUACUAUGAUGUGUUCCUCUCUACCCACUCUAAGCUUAUGCAUACUAGCAGGUGCAGCAUGUAUUUUGUGUCUACCUUCCUCCACUUUAUGAAGGAAGGGACCUUAUCCAUCACCAGCACCCAGAAUGGGGCCUAGGCACAGCAGGCAGUCAUGAAAUAUUUCUCAACUGUUAAGCAAAUGAAUAUGUUUUCUGACUUGAACAAAGCUUUUUACCCCAGGCCGGGUUAUUGGAGGUUGAUGUUGGAGUUUCCAGUUAACCAGAGGCUUGACUCAGUAUGAGUGAACAGAUUUGGGAAUUCAUCUAAAGGUGGCAGGGAGUUUGUCACACUAGUCCCUAGUAGAAACAGAAAAUGUACCACGCUAUGUGAAAACAGGAAUAAAAGAUGAGAGUGACAGAACUGAACAUAAGCUAGCAGCCUUUUUUUUUUUUUUUUUUUUUUUGUAAAAAAAAGUAACUUAGGCCAGGCACAGUGGCUCAUGCCUAUAAUCCUAGCACUUUGGGAGGCGAGGCAGGCAGAUCACUUGAGGUCAGAAGUUCGAGACCAGCCUGCUCAACAUGGCGAAACCCCGUCUCUAUUAAAAAUACAAAAAUUAGCCAGGCGUGGUGGUACACGUCUGUUAAGUCCCAGCUACUCGGAGGGUUUAGGCAGGAGAAUCGCUUGAACCUCGGGAGGUAGAGGUUGCAGUGAGUUGAGAUCAUGCCACUGCAUUCCAGCUUGGGCGACAUAGCAAGACUCUGUCUCCAAAAGACAAGUAACUUCCCUUUUACUAUUGUUUCUAUCCUCUUCUCUGUUCUAUCGUGGGGCAAUGGAGGGGGCAGUCUCUGUUCGAGACAGAUCCACUUCACACUCUGUCCCAUUCAUUUUGGGGGAGACUUUUCUCCCUUCUUCCCUUUUGGACUCUUUCUGGAUGGCUGACAUUAUCAGAGCCUCGGCACUUGGGCUGUUUGCUAUUUUUUCCCACCCAUCUGUCCAAACUACUUUAUUCAUUCAGGGAUUAUAACUGGCCACACUACAGAAUGAGAAGGUAGAAGGUAGAAGAGGAGGAGGGGUGUCAUUUGUUUCUUGCCUUUCUGCAUGAGCUGCCUCUUAGCUGUCAAUGAAGGAACAAAGCAUGGAGUAGGGCAUGAAGACAGGGACCGACUAGUUCUGCCAAGUUUUGAUCAAAAAGUCACCUUUGAAAUGGCUAAAAUUAAGCUUUUAAAAAAUGUUCUAAUGAGAAGGGCUUGAAUCCAAAAAGAAAGAGAAUGAAAGAAAGAAAGAGAGAGAGAGAGGGAGAGAGGGAGGGACGGAAGGAGGAAGAGAAGAGAAGAGAAGAGAAUCUCUGUAAUUGGUGAGAUUUAACAAUCAGAGGGACCUCAACAUUCCCUUGUGGAGGCUAGGGAGGAUGAGGCUUGGAGUCUCUGCCACCCUUGCUAACCUGAAUCACAGUCCCUAGGCUCUUCACAUAAAAGGUGGGGCUUGUGUCUUCCUUGGCCAAUCCCCUCAUUCCACUACCUCUGCCUGCCCCAAAAUGAGCUGCCUAGGCUCUUUAAGUGGCACUGGUCUGACACUUUGGGGAGCAGGCCAGAGACCAGGGUGAUGCCCUCACGGUCCCCAUCAGAAUCCUGCCUCUGCCCACCACCCCCAGGACCAAUCCAGACUUUGCCUGAGCCUGAAGGAACAGGCAGGAAAACUGGCGCAGCCAGGAGGAAAAGGGCCUUUAUUUCCAUACAUCGGGUAAACAGGGGAGAGCACAGCCCAGUG